UACGAAGGGGCUAGCGUUGCUCGGAAUCACUGGGCGUAAAGCGCACGUAGGCGGAUCUUUAAGUCGGGGGUGAAAUCCUGGAGCUCAACUCCAGAACUGCCUUCGAUACUGGGGAUCUUGAGUCCGGGAGAGGUGAGUGGAACUCCGAGUGUAGAGGUGAAAUUCGUAGAUAUUCGGAAGAACACCAGUGGCGAAGGCGGCUCACUGGCCCGGUACUGACGCUGAGGUGCGAAAGCGUGGGAGCAACA
rnacentral:rRNA from 1 species